GCCUCCGUAGCUCAGCGGAUAGAGCAGCCGCCUUCUAAGCGGUUGGUCGCAGGUUCGAUCCCUGCCGGGGGCGCCA
rnacentral:tRNA from 4 species